GACGAACGCUGGCGGCGUGCCUAAUACAUGCAAGUCGAGCGCAGGAAACUGACGGAACUCUUCGGAGGGAAGGCAGUGGAAUGAGCGGCGGACGGGUGAGUAACACGUAAGGAACCUGCCUCAAGGAUUGGGAUAACUCCGAGAAAUCGGAGCUAAUACCGGAUAGUUCAACGGACCGCAUGGUCCGCUGAUGAAAGGCGCUCCGGCGUCACCUUGAGAUGGCCUUACGGUGCAUUAGCUAGUUGGUGGGGUAACGGCCCACCAAGGCGACGAUGCGUAGCCGACCUGAGAGGGUGAUCGGCCACACUGCGACUGAGACACGGCCCAGACUCCUACGGGAGGCAGCAGUAGGGAAUCUUCCACAAUGGACGAAAGUCUGAUGGAGCAACGCCGCGUGAGUGAUGAAGGUUUUCGGAUCGUAAAACUCUGUUGUAAGGGAAGAACACGUACGAGAGGAAAUGCUCGUACCUUGACGGUACCUUACGAGAAAGCCACGGCUAACUACGUGCCAGCAGCCGCGGUAAGAC
rnacentral:rRNA from 1 species